UACGUAGGGUGCAAGCGUUAUCCGGAAUUAUUGGGCGUAAAGAGCUCGUAGGCGGUUUGUCACGUCUGCUGUGAAAACUGGAGGCUCAACCUCCAGCCUGCAGUGGGUACGGGCAGACUAGAGUGCGGUAGGGGAGAUUGGAAUCCUGGUGUAGCGGUGAAAUGCGCAGAUAUCAGGAGGAACACCGAUGGCGAAGGCAGGUCUCUGGGCAUUAACUGACGCUGAGGAGCGAAAGCAUGGGGAGCGAACAGG
rnacentral:rRNA from 1 species